AGGACGAACGCUGGCGGCGUGCUUAACACAUGCAAGUCGAGCGGAAAGGCCCUUCGGGGUACUCGAGCGGCGAACGGGUGAGUAACACGUGAGUAAUCUGCCCCUAGCUCUGGGAUAGCUCCGGGAAACCGGGAUUAAUACCAGAUACGACCACUUUAGACAUCUUCUGUGGUGGAAAGAACUUCGGCUAGGGAUGAACUCGCGGCCUAUCAGCUUGUUGGUGAGGUAACGGCUCACCAAAGGCGACGACGGGUAGCCGGCCUGAGAGGGCGACCGGCCACACUGGGACUGAGACACGGCCCAGACUCCUACGGGAGGCAGCAGUGGGGAAUAUUGCGCAAAUGGCGAAAGCCUGACGCAGCGACGCCGCGUGGGGGAUGAAGGCCUUCGGUUGUAACCCUUUCAGCAGGACGAAGCGAAAGUGACGGUACCUGCAGAACGAAGCGCCGGCAACUACGCGCCAGCAGCCGC
rnacentral:rRNA from 1 species